ACUAGCUAAGGAGAGACAGGAAUAAGAAAGUAAUUUAUUUUUUCAUGCAAAUCUCUGCUAGGAACUAUUAGACUUUUGAAAAUGUAUUCCAAAGAAAUGCAGAGAUAGAUUCCCGACCGGCAUUAAUCAGUGCUGAUUAAGUCAUGGAGCUACCAAGUUUCUGCCUGGUAUAGGAAGGGCUGCUGCCAGCAAAUAAGUAAAUAUCCUGUAAAGACUUCAAAACCACGCUAGGUGACUUAAGAACUUAAGCAGCAUUUUCACGAGUGCCAGAGCUGGUUAGAUGACAAGUACCAUUCUUAGCUAUAGGUUAAAUAUACUGCUAAGGAGCGACUGAGUAGCACCUUGCUCUGGGUACCCUGGAUGACCCAGUAAGAAGCUGUGCUUCACUUCACCUGUCUCUGGAUCAACAAAGAAACCUCCAUUAUGAGCCCUACUUGGAUCAUACAAUUUGCUGGGGCAACGUCGGAUUAUAUAGAGGGAAGAAUAAGCCUACAUCUGCAUUGAUUUCUAACAGUGAGAAAUUUCAUCAGCCACUUCCAUGAGCAGCCUGAGAUGCAUCUGAAGACGUGCUGAGGCUCACUGACCUCAUGGCAUUGUGUCCCAAUGCCACGCUGACUGCCUGUCUGCAGUUUGCAUCUAUAUGAAUUUACUGAAGAUCAGCCUAUCUAUCCAAAGAACAUGGAAGAAACCAGUUGUUCAUGGUCAUUUCCGUUUCCCCUUUUCCAAGAUCUGAUUUAUUGUUUGGGUCAGCCUUAGGACAGUUUCCCUUUUCUAUGCCACUGUAUGCUAAGAUUCUCAUACAGAUAUCUCCACUCCAAAUUGGAUGUUUUCUCAUCAUUGCUUCAGAAA